GAUGAACGCUGGCGGCGUGCCUAAUACAUGCAAGUCGAGCGAACGGACGAGAAGCUUGCUUCUCUGAUGUUAGCGGCGGACGGGUGAGUAACACGUGGAUAACCUACCUAUUAGACUGGGAUAACUUCGGGAAACCGGAGCUAAUACCGGAUAAUAUUUUGAACCGCAUGGUUCAAAAGUGAAAGACGGUCUUGCUGUCACUUAUAGCUGGAUCCGCGCUGCCUUAGCUAGUUGGUAAGGUAACGGCUUACCAAGGCAACGAUGCAUAGCCGACCUGAUAGAGGAAUCGGCCACACGGGAACUGGGACAGGGCCCGAAUUCCUACGGGAGGCAGCAGGAGGGAAACUGCCGCAAGGGGCGAAAGCCUGUCGGAGCAACGCGGCGUGAGUGAGGAAGGCUUUCGGAUGGUAAAACUCUGUUAUGAGGGAAGAACACAUGUGUAAGUAACCGUGCAGAUCUGGAGGGAACCAAAGCAGAAGGCCACGCCUAACUACGG
rnacentral:rRNA from 1 species